UCCGAAGGGGGUUAUCGUUGCUCGGAAUCACUGGGCGUAAAGCGCACGUAGGCGGAUUGCUAAGUCAGGGGUGAAAUCCUGGAGCUCAACUCCAGAACUGCCCUUGAUACUGGCGACCUUGAGUCCGGGAGAGGUGAGUGGAACUGCGAGUGUAGAGGUGAAAUUUGUAGAUAUUCGCAAGAACACCAGUGGCGAAGGCGGCUCACUGGCCCGGUACUGACGCUGAGGUGCGAAAGCGUGGGGAGCAAACAGG
rnacentral:rRNA from 1 species